AUCUCUUCUCGGCCUUUUGGCUAAGAUCAAGUGUAGAAUAACCAUGCAGACACAGACUAUCAAUCUCCAAAUAAUUAUAUGGAUUAUACACUAGAAUUUUGCAUGGCUCAUUCCUUCUGGAAUGAUUCAGAAAGGCCUUCAACCCAUC
rnacentral:snRNA from 1 species